UGGACCUGGGCUACACACGUGCUACAAUGGUUGGUACGAACGAGUUGCGAGUCGGUGACGGCGAGCCUAAUACUCCUUAAAGCCAAUCUCAGUUCGGAUUGUAGGCUGCAACUCGCCUACAUGAAGUCGGAAUCGCUAGUAAUCGCGGAUCAGCACGCCGCGGUGAAUACGUUCCCGGGCCUU
rnacentral:rRNA from 1 species